AACUUCUGGUUCCCUUUCCCAUCGGUUCUGAACACUGGUCUGGGUGGUUGUAAAAGGAGGAAAAGUAACACUGAAGCUGACCUCACAGUGCUUUGUAUCCUGUUGGUUAGUUCCAAACAGGU
ensembl:snoRNA